UCUGGUUGAUCCUGCCAGUAGUUAUAUGCUUGUCUCAAAGAUUAAGCCAUGCAUGUCUAAGUACACACGAAUUAAAAGUGAAACCGCAAAAGGCUCAUUAUAUCAGUUAUGGUUCCUUAGAUCGUUAACAGUUACUUGGAUAACUGUGGUAAUUCUAGAGCUAAUACAUGCAAUUAAAACAUGAACCUUAUGGGACAUGUGCUUUUAUUAGGCUAAAACCAAGCGAUCGCAAGAUCGUUAUAUUGGUUGAACUCUAGAUAACAUGCAGAUCGUAUGGUCUUGUACCGACGACAGAUCUUUCAAAUGUCUGCCCUAUCAACUUUUGAUGGUAGUAUCUAGGACUACCAUGGUUGCAACGGGUAACGGGGAAUCAGGGUUCGAUUCCGGAGAGGGAGCCUGAGAAACGGCUACCACAUCUAAGGAAGGCAGCAGGCGCGUAAAUUACCCACUCCCAGCUCGGGGAGGUAGUGACGAAAAAUAACAAUACAGGACUCAUAUCCGAGGCCCUGUAAUUGGAAUGAGUACACUUUAAAUCCUUUAACAAGGACCAAUUGGAGGGCAAGUCUGGUGCCAGCAGCCGCGGUAAUUCCAGCUCCAAUAGCGUAUAUUAAAGUUGUUGCGGUUAAAACGUUCGUAGUUGAACUUGUGCUUCAUACGGGUAGUACAACUUACAAUUGUGGUUAGUACUAUACCUUUAUGUAUGUAAGCGUAUUACCGGUGGAGUUCUUAUAUGUGAUUAAAUACUUGUAUUUUUUCAUAUGUUCCUCCUAUUUAAAAACCUGCAUUAGUGCUCUUAAACGAGUGUUAUUGUGGGCCGGUACUAUUACUUUGAACAAAUUAGAGUGCUUAAAGCAGGCUUCAAAUGCCUGAAUAUUCUGUGCAUGGGAUAAUGAAAUAAGACCUCUGUUCUGCUUUCAUUGGUUUUCAGAUCAAGAGGUAAUGAUUAAUAGAAGCAGUUUGG
rnacentral:rRNA from 1 species